UACGUAGGUGGCGAGCGUUGUCCGGAAUUACUGGGUGUAAAGGGUGCGUAGGCGGAUUAGCAAGUUGGGUGUGAAAUCUCCGGGCUUAACUCGGAGGUUGCAUUCAAAACUGUUGAUCUUGAGUGAGGUAGAGGCAGGCGGAAUUCCCGGUGUAGCGGUGAAAUGCGUAGAGAUCGGGAGGAACACCAGUGGCGAAGGCGGCCUGCUGGGCCUUAACUGACGCUGAGGCACGAAAGCAUGGGUAG
rnacentral:rRNA from 1 species